AAGAUUAUGCUUUCAGGGAUCAUUUCUGUAGUUUGUUACUAGAGAAGUUUCUCUGAACGUUUAGAGUACCUGACUAUAUGCCAUUUGUAUG
rnacentral:snoRNA from 1 species